AUUGGCUUGGCAGAAGAAUGCGUUUGAUUUAGGAUCAUAUUAUAAUAUACUAUAUUAGUCGAUA
rnacentral:tRNA from 1 species